GCAUAUCAAUAAGCGGAGGAAAAGAAACCAACAGGGAUUGCCCUAGUAACGGCGAGUGAAGCGGCAACAGCUCAAAUUUGAAAUCUGGCCUCCUUCGGUGGUCCGAGUUGUAAUUUGCAGAGGGUGCUUUGGCGUCGGCAGCGGUCUAAGUUCCUUGGAACAGGACAUCACAGAGGGUGAGAAUCCCGUACGUGGUCGCCUGCCUUCGCCGUGUAAAGCCCCUUCGACGAGUCGAGUUGUUUGGGAAUGCAGCUCUAAAUGGGAGGUAAAUUUCUUCUAAAGCUAAAUACCGGCCAGAGACCGAUAGCGCACAAGUAGAGUGAUCGAAAGAUGAAAAGCACUUUGGAAAGAGAGUCAAACAGCACGUGAAAUUGUUGAAAGGGAAGCGCUUGCAGCCAGACUUGCCCGUAGUUGCUCAUCGGAACUUUUGCUCCGAGCACUCUUCUGCGGGCAGGCCAGCAUCAGUUUGGGCGACCGGAUAAAGGCCUCUGUCAUGUAUCUUCCUUCGGGAUGACCUUAUAGGGGAGGCGUAAUGCGGCCAGCCCGGACUGAGGUCCGCGCAUCUGCUAGGAUGCUGGCGUAAUGGCUGUAAGCGGCCCGUCUUGAAACACGGACCAAGGAGUCUAACAUCUAUGCGAGUGUUUGGGUGUCAAGCCCGGGCGCGUAAUGAAAGUGAACGGAGGUGGGAACCCUCUUGCGGGGGUGCACCAUCGACCGAUCCUGAUGUCUUCGGAUGGAUUUGAGUAAGAGCAUAGCUGUUGGGACCCGAAAGAUGGUGAACUAUGCUUGAAUAGGGUGAAGCCAGAGGAAACUCUGGUGGAGGCUCGCAGCGGUUCUGACGUGCAAAUCGAUCGUCAAAUUUGGGCAUAGGGGCGAAAGACUAAUCGAACUAUCUAGUA
rnacentral:rRNA from 1 species